UAACAACCUGAGUCUCUCAAGCAUCUGUAAGAACGUACAAAUUAAGAAGGGAUAGUUUGAAGAUGACAUUGCAUUUUGGCAGCUCUUUGAGCAGACAGGAAACACCACCUGGAGGGACACCGCAGAGGACUCUCCCUAUCUCCUGCUAUCUUGCUAGCCAGCAUUCCUCUCAAGGCUCAUGAGCCUGUGCUUUAGUGAGGCCCACAAGGCACAACUCCCGGUUUAGUCUGAAGCCCAAAGUUUCCUUUCUGAAGUUUUGUGUUUUUGAGUCCCAGAUUUCUGAAACAAGCAGCGCCUUCCUUGUUUUUGUUCACACCACACUUCUCUUAUAUGGAGGAUCCACCCACCGCUUCUUGGCAUUCCUUUCCUCUCUGACUUCGCAUCUCUAUCACACAAACUUUGGAUGGCGAUGCAGAGUGGCUCCAGGAAAGCGCCUGCCACUCUUCAGCACGGGGUGAAAUACAUUCCCCGAGGGAAAAAGAAGAGGUACACGUGGCUGCCAUAAGUCCGAAGCACAAACGUAAGGGAGAAAGCCUUAAAUCAGACCAACAGGGUGUGUCAGGAGCAGCUGUGUUCCGGUAAUGGGAGAUCUGCGGGAAGAACUGAUGACUGUCCUCAAGCACCGUGAAUACAAACGGAAGUGGCUCAAGCCUUCUGGAAACCCACACAGACAUUUGUGCAGAACUCAUGAAACAAAAGGCUGGCUUCAUACUGUAAGAGAUUAUUGUGGUGGUCCUAUUCUGCUCAGGUGGAUUCUUGGGAAGCUAGUCUAGAGUUGAGAGUAGAAGCAAUAGUCCACACUUCUGGCUGUCUCACCCCAAGAAGCAAACACCCUCUCCUCGCUCCCUGUUCUGAUCAUCUGUGAAGAGCAACAACUGUGUGAGCUGGAGCUUUGGUUUCUUUUGAGUACAAGGAUUUGAAUUCUGCCAACUAUGCCAAGCUUGGAAGAGGACUUGAACCGUCUGCUCCCCUCAACUACGCUGAUCCAGA